rnacentral:sRNA from 1 species
AAUCUUAAUAGGAAAGGUGGCGCAGUAUUCUAGUCAGGUAAGUAUUCUUUGAAGGCGGGGCUAAAAAUCCGCCAAAGGGCAUAUCGAUGAAGUUCCUUGUGCUGGCUUAUGACGCCCAGUCAUGGGUUGGUGCUGGGAGUAAGGAAGAUGGGGCGGCCGCAAUGGCAUGCGACAACUGACCCUACUUCUGUGGAGACCGUUAUUUGUGUUUUAGGUUAGUCGCCUAUUGCACGAAAACGGAUUAAACCUGUAUUGUGGUGUAAAAGCUAUGUGCAGUGUAGCCUGCCUUGAGUGGUGUAGGGAGAGGUAAUAACACCUUUAAAUUUUGGCCAAAAGUUUGAAGGCUUUGCUUACUGAAACCUAUACUGCAAAAGAGGCUAGAAGAAUACCUAACUGUUGAGGAAAUCUCCUAGACUGUUCCAUAAGGAAGUAUUUUGAGGAUUGCAGUGCGGACUAAGUGGUAAUCUAGUCCUGUUUAUGGUGACAUAGCAGAUAGAAUAUUAAAGGGAAACCGCUAAAAUGGCGACAUUUUGGUUAUUCUAUGGGAAAUCCUACUAGACCUAAGCCGCAAGUUUUACUCAAAUUGCUGCCACUUUUUCUAAUACAUAA